UAAUAAACGGAGCAAUUCCAAGAGGGUCCUCACACCAUCGGUGCUCGGGCCCUAAUUAAAGCUGCAAGCAGCGAUGAACGGGCCCUCGCACCCGGGCUCACCGCCAUCGUGUGGCUUUAGUAAAAAGGUGAACGUUGAGAAAUAUGCAUUUAAUGUCCUAAAUAUAAGUGGAAUAUAUCAAAGUAUAUCCCAUAUAUGUGCCAAUCUUACCGUUGCCAGCAGGUGGCGCUAUCAUUAUAAUGGAAUAUUGGCCUUCAGAUGUGUUCAGGCCAGGACUCUUAUCGAACAUGUGAAGUUUGGGGAAGAUUGAACAUUUUAUGCUUGAGUUACAACAACUUCUCUUGCUGUGGCAAGACAUCAAAUUUUGUCAUGGCGCCAUGGAAACGGCCUUUAACAAAAACUCAAGAUCUCCAAAAGUUAACAUUGCACAGGCCUUUAGAUUAGACUGACCACAAAAUAUAUGUUAAUCUCAAAAAAAUUAUAGGAGUAGUUUGUUGCAGCGUAAAACAUGUCACUUCCUGUUGCCAAUAGGUGGCGCUAUGACUAUAACUGAAUGUGGGCAUGUAGAUCUGUUAAGGGCAGAAGUUUUAUCUAACAUGUGAAGUUUGGGGCAGAUUGGACAUUGUAUGUCUGAGUUACAGCAACUUCCUUUUUCAUGGCGAAACAUCGAAAUUUGUCAGGCCACCAUGGACACGCCCUUUAACGAAAUCUAAAGAUCUUCGCAAUUUAACAUCGCAAAGGGCUUAAGAUUACACUGACCAGGUUUGGUGUUGAUCUGAAUAAAUCUCUAGGAGGAGUUCGUUAAAGUACAACCCCUGAAAAUGGCAAAAACAAUGCCAAUAUUGCAGAGAAAAUUCUAAAUAACCGACUUCCUGUUGGGAUUUGGAUUUCGUACCAAGAGACUUUUUUUUAGGUAUUGGUGUGUUAUAUGUGUAUACCGAUUUUUGUACAUGUACGUGAAACAUAGCUCGAGGCGCACUCUGUUGAAAGUGUAUAGGUGGCGCUAUCGAGCCAUUUUGCCACACCUGAUGGAAUUUUGGCCUUCAGAUGUGUUCAGGCCAGGACUCUUAUCACACAUGUGAAGUUUGGGGAAGAUCGGACAUUUUAUGCCUGAGUUAUAACAUCUUUUAUUCCCAUGGCGAGACAUCGAACUUCGUGACGGCGCCAUGGACACGCCUUUUAACGAAAACUCAAGAUCUUCACAACUUAACAUCGCACAGGGCUUUAGAUUAGACUGACCACAAAAAAUACAUUGAUGUCAUAAAAUUUCUAGGAGUAGUUCAUCGCAGUGUAAAAUAUGUCACUUCCUGUUGCCAAUAGGUGGCGCUAUGACUAUAACUGAAUAUGGGCAUGUCAAUCUGUUCAGGUCAGGAGUCUCAUCAAACAUGUGAAGUUUGGGGCAGAUUGGUCAUUGUAUGUCUGAGUUAUAGCAACUUCCUGUUUCAUGGCGAAUCAUCGAAAUUCGCCAAGCCGCCACGGACACGCCCAUUAACGAAAACUCAAAAGCUUCGCAAUUUAACAUCGCAAAGGCCUUCAGAUUAGGCAUACCAAAUUUGGUGUUGAUCUGAAUGAAUCUCUAGGAGGAGUUCGUUAAAAUACAACGCAUGGAAAUGACAAAAAUGACACAAAAUUUGCUCAUAAUAUUAGUAAUAACCGACUUCCUGUUGGGUUUCGGAUUUUGCUCCAAGAGACUUUUUUGUAGGUAUUGGAGAGUUACAUGUGUAUACCGAUUUUCAUACAUGUACAUGAAACGUAGCUCGAGGCGCACACCGUUGAACGUGUAUAGGUGGCGCUGUUGAGCCAUUUUGCCACACCCACUUCUGAAACCCAUAUCAGACGUAAAUUUUCGCCAGUUCUGAGGUGUGUGCAAAGUUUCAUGACUUUUCGAGCAUGUUUAGGCCCUCAAAAAUGCGAUUCAUUUUGGAGAAGAAGAAUAAUAAUAAUAAUUAAAGCUGCAAGCAGCGAUGAACGGGCCCUCGCACCCGGGCUCACCGCCAUCGUGUUGCUCUAGUAAAAAGGUGAACGUUGAGAAAUAUGCAUUUAAUGUCCUAAAUAUAAGUGGAAUAUAUCAAAGUAUAUCCCAUAUAUGUGCCAAUCUUACCGUUGCCAGCAGGUGGCGCUAUCAUUAUAAUGGAAUAUUGGCCUACAGAUGUGUUCAGGCCAGGACUCUUAUCAAACAUGUGAAGUUUGGGGAAGAUUGAACAUUUUAUGCUUGAGUUACAACAACUUCUCUUGCUGUGGCAAGACAUCAAAUUUUGUCAUGGCGCCAUGGAAACGCCCUUUAACAAAAACUCAAGAUCUCCAAAAGUUAACAUUGCACAGGCCUUUAGAUUAGACUGACCAAAAAAUAUAUGUUAAUCUUAAAAAAAUUAUAGGAGUAGUUUGUCGCAGCGUAAAACAUGUCACUUCCUGUUGCCAAUAGGUGGCGCUAUGACUAUAACUGAAAGUGGGCAUGUAGAUCUGUUAAGGGCAGAAGUCUUAUCUAACAUGUGAAGUUUGGGGCAGACUGGACAUUGUAUGUCUGAGUUACAGCAACUUCCUUUUUCAUGGCGAAACAUCGAAAUUUGUCAGGCCACCAUGGACACGCCCUUUAACGAAAUCUAAAGAUCUUCGCAAUUUAACAUCGCAAAGGGCUUAAGAUUACACUGACCAGGUUUGGUGUUGAUCUGAAUAAAUCUCUAGGAGGAGUUCGUUAAAGUACAACCCCUGAAAAUGUCAAAAACAACGCCAAUUUUGCAGAGAAAAUUCUAAAAAACCGACUUCCUGUUGGGAUUCGGAUUUCGUACCAAGAGACUUUUUUGUAGGUAUUGGUGUGUUACAUGUGUAUACCGAUGUUUGUACAUGUACGUGAAACAUAGCUCGAGGCGCACUCUGUUGAAAAUGUAUAGGUGGCGCUAUCGAGCCAUUUUGCCACACCUGAUGGAAUUUUGGCCUUCAGAUGUGUUCAGGCCAGGACUCUUAUCACACAUGUGAAGUUUGGGGAAGAUCGGACAUUUUAUGCCUGAGUUAUAACAUCUUUUAUUCCCAUGGCGAGACAUCGAACUUCGUGACGGCGCCAUGGACACGCCUUUUAACGAAAACUCAAGAUCUUCAAAACUUAACAUCGCACAGGCCUUUAGAUUAGACUGACCACAAAAAAUACAUUGAUGUCAUAAAAUUUCUAGGAGUAGUUCAUCGCAGUGUAAAAUAUGUCACUUCCUGUUGCCAGUAGGUGGCGCUAUGACUAUAACUGAAUAUGGGCAUGUCAAUCUGUUCAGGUCAGGAGUCUCAUCAAACAUGUGAAGUUUGGGGCAGACUGGUCAUUGUAUGUCUGAGUUAUAGCAAUUUCCUGUUUCAUGGCGAGUCAUCGAAAUUCGCCAGGCCGCCACGGACACGCCCAUUAACGAAAACUCAAAAGCUUCGCAAUUUAACAUCGCAAAGGCCUUCAGAUUAGCCAUACCAAAUUUGGUGUUGAUCUGAAUGAAUCUCUAGGAGGAGUUCGUUAAAAUACAACGCAUGGAAAUGACAAAAAUGACACAAAAUUUGCUCAUAAUAUUAGUAAUAACCGACUUCCUGUUGGGUUUCGGAUUUUGCUCCAAGAGACUUUUUUGUAGGUAUUGGAGAGUUACAUGAGUAUACCGAUUUUCAUACAUGUACAUGAAACGUAGCUCGAGGCGCACACCGUUGAACGUGUAUAGGUGGCGCUGUUGAGCCAUUUUGCCACACCCACUUCUGAAACCCAUAUCAGACGUAAAUUUUCGCCAGUUCUGAGGUGUGUGCAAAGUUUCAUGACUUUUCGAGCAUGUUUAGGCCCUCAAAAAUCCGAUUCAUUUUGGAGAAGAAGAAUAAUAAUAAUAAAUAUAGCUGCAAGCAGCGAUGGCGGGCUCAAGCCACCAAUGCCAUCGCCACCCCGGUGGCAUCAGGUAAACUGUGCCCAGCGGGCACAUGCAUUCACAAUAUCC